GACAGAGGGUGCAAACGUUGCUCGGAAUCACUGGGCAUAAAGCGCACGUAGGCGGUCGCGCAAGUGCGGUGUGAAAUCCCCCGGCUCAACCGGGGAACUGCUCCGCAUACUGCACGGCUAGAGCUUGGGAGGGGAGAGUGGAACUCCUGGUGGAGCGGUGGAAUGCGUAGAUAUCAGGAGGAACGCCGGAGGUGAAGACGACUCUCUGGCCCAAUGCUGACGCUAAGGUGCGAAAGCUAGGGGAGCAAACGGGAUUAGAUACCCCGGUAGUCCUAGCCCUAAACGAUGGGCACUAGCUAGGGGGGAUACCUAUUGUCCUCUCUGGCGAAGCAAAUGUGAUAAGUGCCCCGCCUGGGGAGUACGGUCGCAAGGCUAAA
rnacentral:rRNA from 1 species